GGUGAUCGACAUCAUCGGACCGUCCCUUGUCUUUUGCCUGCCGCUUCGUUCACCUCAUUGUAAAUAAACCCAUAUCAUCCGUAACAGUUUUGGUGGAGGUGCGGGGUACCCGACGCCCUGGACAACACUCUCGCAGACGACCUUCGAAGAAGCCGACGCCUAGCCGGACUACCUCCGGAACAUACAGACAUGACCGACACCCGCGAAGGCACGUCGGCCGGCAACGCCACCGAGCAAGGCAGCCACCGACCAAGGCAACCUAGCUACUGGGCACCUGAGCCAAGCCUAUUCUCAGAAUUGAAAAGUCAAGUGCGGAAACUGCAUCAGGAAGCUGCCGUGUAGGUCAGGAAUGUCAACCCAGUUUGAACGGUACGGAUUGCGGAGGUGACAAGAACUGUAUCUGCGUCUGGUUCCUCAAUAUCAGUGACAAAAAAUUCCAGUGUCAGAACGUUAGCUAACAACAGUCAAGUUCUGCAAGCAAAUGGAAUAAAUGU